CAGCAGCCGCGGUAAUACGAAGGGUGCAAGCGUUACUCGGAAUUACUGGGCGUAAAGCGUGCGUAGGUGGUGGUUUAAGUCCGUUGUGAAAGCCCUGGGCUCAACCUGGGAAUUGCAGUGGAUACUGGGUCACUAGAGUGUGGUAGAGGAUAGUGGAAUUUCCGGUGUAGCAGUGAAAUGCGUAGAGAUCGGAAGGAACACCUGUGGCGAAAGCGGCUCACUGGACCAUAACUGACGCUGAUGCACGAAAGCUAGGGGAGCAAACAGGAUUAGAUACCCGAGUAGUCCCUGUCUCUUAUAA
rnacentral:rRNA from 1 species